rnacentral:tRNA from 1 species
GUGGUCGUGGCCAAGUGGUAAGGCAAUGGAUUGUGGCUCCGUCAUCGCGGGUUCGAUUCCCGUCGAUCACC